GGCUGGGCUGUGUAAAGGAAUUAGGGAGGGCGCGGAAGCCGGUCACGGACGAGUGGGCGUCAACACUUUGUAAACAGCUAGUGGGAAGUGUUGGGAAAACGCUAGUAGGGAUACGGGGAACGGAGAACAGAGUGCUACGGCGGCAGGCUCCCUGCCGUCUGAGGCUUAAUGGCGCCCUAGCUCUAGGGUCCACAGACUGGCAACUGCGCUUAGUGUCGGUAAACGUGUCGCACUUCUAUUGGCAUGAGAUGGAUCUCUGGGGAUUUUGAGCGGAUCUUGAUCUCCGCACUAAAUCUGUGCGGAACUAUUGGUGGCCUGAGCCUCGCGCAGAGUGCUGGACGAGCAGUACACAGGAGCGUGACUGCGCUUUGAAUCCAUAGGGCCUUCUGUGUGCAAUCACUGUGGGCCACUCGGGUGCCAUUGUCCAAAGUCAAUCCGGUUUACAGUGUGGCAGUGUAGAGCACGGAAGUGGCCCGCGGUUAAAUGUGUAGUGAUCGUGAUCGUGUGCUCGCUUUUGGUUAUAGUGUUUGGUGGCUGAAGCAAUAGAAGAAACAGUUAAGAAGUUGAAGAAGAAGCUGGUGGUCUUGGGAACGCACCGCUGUUUCACCUAGCCAUGGUCCCUCUGCCUAACUGUCUGCCUACCAGAGUCCUGUCCAGUGAGGGUCUCUCACUUUUGGUUUCUCACCCACUACUGGGGACUGAGCUCUAGAUUCCAUGCAAGGAAGGCAGGUACUUUGGCACUGCACUACCAUCACAGGCCCUCUAAGUUUUCAGAAUGUUCUAAGUAGAACCUUGUUUAAACAAGUUUUAAUUGCUUGACUCCUCUGGUGUAAACAUUAAAAUUAAAAUUUCAC
ensembl:lncRNA